UACGUAGGGGGCAAGCGUUGUCCGGAAUUAUUGGGCGUAAAGCGCGCGCAGGCGGCUAUUUAAGUCUGGUGUUUAAACCUUGGGCUCAACCUGGGGUCGCACUGGAAACUGGGUGGCUUGAGUACAGAAGAGGAAAGUGGAAUUCCACGUGUAGCGGUGAAAUGCGUAGAGAUGUGGAGGAACACCAGUGGCGAAGGCGACUUUCUGGGCUGUAACUGACGCUGAGGCGCGAAAGCGUGGGGAGCAAACAGG
rnacentral:rRNA from 1 species